CGGCCACACUGGAACUCUGAGACACCGGUCCAGACUCCAAACGGGAGGCAGCAGUGGGGAAUCUUGCACAAUGGACGAAAGUCUGAUGCAGCAACGCCGCGUGGGGGAUGAAGCUUUUCGGAGUGUAAACCCCUUUCGACCCGGAAGAAAGCCGCAAGGGUUUGACGGUACGGGUAUAAGAAGCCCCGGCUAACUACGUGCCAGCAGCCGCGGUAAAACGUAGGGGGCCAGCGUGCUCGGAAUUACUGGGCGUAAAGGGUCCGUAGGCGGUGUGGCAAGUCGGUAGUGAAAUCCUCUGGGCUUUAACCCAAGAGGUUGCUGCCGAAACUGCCGUGCUAGAGUUGUGACAAGAGGCGAGUGGAAUUACGGGUGUACCGGGUUGAAAAU
rnacentral:rRNA from 1 species